GAUGAACGCUGGCGGCGUGCCUAAUACAUGCAAGUCGAGCGAAUGGAUUAAGAGCUUGCUCUUAUGAAGUUAGCGGCGGACGGGUGAGUAACACGUGGGUAACCUGCCCAUAAGACUGGGAUAACUCCGGGAAACCGGGGCUAAUACCGGAUAACAUUUUGAACCGCAUGGUUCGAAAUUGAAAGGCGGCUUCGGCUGUCACUUAUGGAUGGACCCGCGUCGCAUUAGCUAGUUGGUGAGGUAACGGCUCACCAAGGCAACGAUGCGUAGCCGACCUGAGAGGGUGAUCGGCCACACUGGGACUGAGACACGGCCCAGACUCCUACGGAGGCAGCAGUAGGGAAUCUUCCGCAAUGGACGAAAGUCUGACGGAGCAACGCCGCGUGAGUGAUGAAGGCUUUCGGGUCGUAAAACUCUGUUGUUAGGGAAGAAUAAGUGCUAGUUGAAUAAGCUGGCACCUUGACGGUACCUACCCAGAAAGCCACGGCUAACUACGUGCCAGCCGCCGCCGUAA
rnacentral:rRNA from 1 species